GCCCUCAGUAGCGGCGAGUGAGGCGGCAAGGAGCUCAGAUUUGAAUCGUGCUUUGCGGCACGAGUUGUAGAUUGCAGGUUGGAGUCUGUGUGGAAGGCGGUGUCCAAGUCCCUUGGAACAGGGCGCCCAGGAGGGUGAGAGCCCCGUGGGAUGCCGGCGGAAGCAGUGAGGCCCUUCUGACGAGUCGAGUUGUUUGGGAAUGCAGCUCCAAGCGGGUGGUAAAUUCCAUCUAAGGCUAAAUACUGGCGAGAGACCGAUAGCGAACAAGUACUGUGAAGGAAAGAUGAAAAGCACUUUGAAAAGAGAGUGAAACAGCACGUGAAAUUGUUGAAAGGGAAGGGUAUUGCGCCCGACAUGGGGAUUGCGCACCGCUGCCUCUCGUGGGCGGCGCUCUGGGCUUUCCCUGGGCCAGCAUCGGUUCUUGCUGCAGGAGAAGGGGUUCUGGAACGUGGCUCU
rnacentral:rRNA from 1 species